UACGUAGGGGGCAAGCGUUGUCCGGAUUUAUUGGGCGUAAAGAGCGUGUAGGCGGCCAGGUAGGUCUGCUGUGAAAACUCGAGGCUUAACCUCGAGCUGUCGGCGGAAACCAUCUGGCUAGAGUCCGGAAGAGGAGAAUGGAAUUCCCGGUGUAGCGGUGAAAUGCGCAGAUAUCGGGAGGAACACCAGUGGCGAAGGCGACUUCCUGGCCUGUUCUUGACGCUGAGGCGCGAAAGCUAGGGUAGCAAACGGG
rnacentral:rRNA from 1 species